UUCUCAGUGGCGUCAAGGGACUCCACUCUGUCUAGGGAGGAGUGAACUAUGCACCAAGGCCUCUCAAGCCUAAGGUGGCAGCAUCAAGUUUGGAGAGCCGAAAGAUCAUGAGGAGGCCUCCCAGGUGUCAGAGACCGGAGUGAGAAUCGAGAAUGUCCCAUUUCCUUGGCAUAAGGCCCUACAGAUGCAGCAUGGAAACCUUUUGUACCUGGGGAAGGGACCCUGGGGACAGGGUAGUGAUCUGCACGGCUUGUUACCUGGAACCAUUUCCUUUAAUUUGGCAAGUAAGCCAUGCCUACCAUCUCUCCUAGCUUUCCUCAAGCAAAAUAAACCUUAACCUUAGUCUGAAAAGAGAACCCCAUUCGUAUUCCAAGGUGAACCCUGGUCCUGAGUGCUUCUCACCCAUCCACCUCAGAAGCAAGUUCAGAGAGCAGCUACAUCCACAACCCUCGCUUGAGAGACUGCUCCCCCACUCCUCCCAUGGAAGAAUACUAGUUCUGAUAGUCUGUGUGGCCUUGGGCAAGCCACUUAAUUCCUCUUCACCUGACCUCCCAGUAAUCAAGAGAGGAUAAAAUAAUUCUACACGCAACUCACAGAAUUGAUGUUUGGACAGAAUUAAUUAGUUGGUGUCAAAGGUUUAAAAAAAUCAAAAGGACUACCUGAAAAUGUAAGCUGUUUUUUAUUCAACAGACAUAUUUUUUUUAAACAACAGAGACCCCCCCCCCCAUUGAGUAAACUGUCAAUAGUGUAAAAGCCUAAUACUUACCGGCACAUAUGCCAAGCCCAGAAAACUGAGCACUGUUAUGAACCCUGCCACACAUGUAAGGUGAACCAAGGCUUGGAGUUGUUACAG